AUCCACGCUAGCUCAGUCGUAGAGCAUGAGACUCUUAAUCUCAGGGUCGUGGGUUCGAGUCCCACGUUGGGCG
rnacentral:tRNA from 1 species